rnacentral:antisense_RNA from 1 species
UAUCCCACCGAGGCCACCAUAGACCAGCCAGCCCUCAGCGUACAUGCCAGCUAAUUACAGAUGCAGGAGCAAACCCCUGGCCCAUACAUCAAUUUUAAUGUCAUUGAAUACAGAGAACAAAUCUCAUUCAUUUUGGUAUCGGCUCAAGUCAACAAACAUUUAAAAAUCAUUUACUGCAUCUGAUUUUGGGUAUGUUGAAUUGGUGACGUCUGAGUUGCUUCUGGUCUAUCCUGAUAGAAACAUACAGUAAACAGAGAAAAAAAAGGGUCUCAGGUGAGAUGAUGUAUGGGAAUGCUCAGCAUACAGAAUGAAUGGAUAAGAGGCCUGAAAACAUAAUCCUGUAAACAACCAUAUUGAAAGAGAAGACAGAAGACAUCAAACAGAUGGAGUUUCGCUCUUGUUGCCCAGGCUGGAGUGCAACGGCACGAUCUCAGCUCACCGCAACCUCCACCUCCCAAGUUCAAGCAAUUCUCCUGCCUCAGCCUCCUGAGUAGCUGGAAUUACAGGAUUUUGGAAGCAUUGCCUUCUACAGAAUCCACAGUAGUCCGAAGUUCUUCUACGGUUUUUGUCAAACUUUGAUUUUCCAUCUCUAGCUUCAAUAAUCUACUUGAUGUCAACUCAUUCACCUCAUGGCCCAGGGAUUUCUGGGGUGCUAUAAUAUUGAAAAAUACACCAUUGUAUUUACUCUUUACUGUUUUUACUAUGUUUACUCUUUACUAUUUAAAAAGUUGAGUGUAUAUGCAUUGCAUCAUCUGAUCCUUAACUUUAUUAAAAAUUCAAUGAGGUUAUAUAAGAUAAACAAGAUAAAAGAAGUAAAUCUUUUUUUUCCUUUUCUUUUUUUCUUUUUUUUAAAGAGACGGGGUCUCUCUCUGUCACCCAGGCUGGAGUGCAGUGAUGUGCUCCUAGCUCACUGCAGCCUCAAACGCCUGGUCUGAAGGGAUCCUCCCACCUCAGUCUCCCAAGCGGCCGGGACUGCAGGUACAGCCAGCUAAUUUUUUUAUUUUUUAGUAAAGACUGGGUCUCUGUUACUUAGGCUGGUCUCGAACUCCUGAGCUCAAGCAAUCCUCCUGCCUUGGCCUCCCAAAGUGCUGGGAUUACAGGCAUUAGCCGCUGCAACCAGCUAAGAGAUACAUGUUUAACUUUUAAUGCAUCCACAGCAUUCUAGUUAAAAAAAAGCAUAAAGUUUAGAUUGAAGAAAUUGGAGUUCAAGCAGACCCAUUAAAUAUUUUGCU